AAAAGAUUAAGAUUUUAACAAUGGAUAUUUUGUACGUAUAAUGUAAACUUUUUAUUCUUGUUUUCGAUGAACAACGUUUACCGAUUAAAGAAGUAAACACAAAGUAAACUAUUGAAGAUCGUACAUGGGUUCUCCUUAAAAAUUCUUAAAAAUAACUAUCUGAAUGUCGAGUUUAUCGUUGCUCCUUACGAGGUUAAUGCACAACUUGUAUAUUUGGCGAAUAAUAAAGAUAAAGACAUUUGUAUGUGGUUCUCAUUACUGAUACUUACCUCGUACCAUUUAGAUGUCCAAGAGUAAGUUCUCUAAUACACUUAUCAAUUAUUAUUUUUAAUAGCUUGAAAAUAAAUUUAAUGGUCAAAAGAUACCUAUAAUAUAUUUUUAACUGAAAAAUAAAGAGAAAUUUAUGAAAUCUGUUA
rnacentral:sRNA from 1 species